rnacentral:rRNA from 1 species
CGGCGACUAGGUGGUAGUGCGAGCCAUCGCGGCGGGAGGAGGAAGAGAGACGUCAGGUACCGGCCGUGGCGUCGGAGCAGGGGUGUCGACGAGGCGUCGCGGAGGCUGCUGGCGCGGGCCUCGCGCUGUCACCGUAGUAAGGCUCGUGUACUGCGGUGCGAGGCGGCCCCGAGGAAGUGGCAGGCGCCGAGGAAGUCCGAGACGUGGAACGGCUGAGGGGGAAGCAGUGCCGGAGAGCAGGUACGAUCUCCGUCGGUGCAGGAGCUACCAACGACGACCUAAGAUGGGGAGGUUCAACGAGCCUGCGGAGGGGUUGAGAGGUAGGAGGGGUUGUUCCAGCGACGGUAGUGGUUUUCGAUCCUACUUCCGGUCCUUCGGGAUGUGGUAGUGCGGGCCCUCUAGACCUGGCUCGGGCUCGUGCUGUUCAAGGAGCUCCGCGACGUCGACAAACUAGCACUAACCUUUUUCUAUUUUCGUUGUAGCCGGUGAACACCACCAGGCUUCCGGAGGCCCGCGGCGUCGUGGUGCGACAGGACUGCGGCUGGGUCAGCGUUUGCCGCCGGUAGAGACCCUUGGUCCGAGGGUUUUGGCUCAGUUUGAGGCUGUCGCUCAGUAACCAGCUCUGUCCCCCGCCGGCUACGUUCGCUUCGCCGCUUAGUAGUCUAUGGUCCAAAUAUUCUUCCAUACGUCUCUAGUUCAGACCCAGGUCAAUAAUAGUCCUAUGUUGUAUCUUUGGAUGUGAUGGUCAUCAUCAGACUUAGAUUUCUCCUCAGGCUCAGUCCCAGCUGGACGAAGACCUGAAGGGAGGAACUUAGGAGGUAACUUUCGUAUAGCGGAACCAGUUUAAGCCGGCGGGAGGAGCUAAGGUAAAUGGGCGACGCCGCGGGCUGAUGAGGUGGGUGCCACUCGGAUCGAGACGUAGAGGACAAAAAACAGCAUGACAGACAACGGAUAAAGGACAUAUCAUACUACUACCGCACGGACCAGUUUAGUUAAUAAAAAAGACCCAUAUUUUAACAUUGAUACACUUAACCUAAUCCUACGUUGGUUUAAGUUUACGUCAUCCUUACGUGAUGAAAAAAGACCUUACUUUUCAUCUCUAGACGUCACGACGUACCAUUAAUAACCGUUCCGGAGUUACUGUUAUAAACGAUGGUCUAUAUAAGGAUGCCCAUCCUCCACUUAAUGUACCUACGGUAUCUAUAGUUCAGAGAUAUACCAACGGUAUCUACGAUGAUAAUGUACCUAAAUAAUGAUAAAAAGUACACAACAACUUUUAUCUUGAGUGAGUAAAUAAACAGAUGCCUCCCUCAUCGUAUGUCAUUCGAAGUAAAGUGGCUCCUCUAGAAGGCAAUGUAUCUCAAUAAUUAAAGUUAUACUUAAGUCUUAAGUCAUGGGUGUGCUUAAAGCAUCUACGAAACUAGCUCUGCACGCAACGUGCACGUACGAAUGAUCAAAAUCUAUACUCCUUUAUCAUCUAAAAAGAGAACUUGUGACAUAUAUACAUAGACUAUCAAACUUCUCUUGCUCUAGGAGACUACAUGAUUUUUGAUGGCAACUCCCUGCAUGAAGUGCAAAGUGGCAAGCGAUUAGUAGGUUGCCGUCGUUCACCUUUGGCCUUUUGUAUUUCGUGUAAGUCGGGUGUUCUUGCUAGAUCGGGUCAGGUUACCUUGCCCUCUCCCUUUUGUACAGGUAUCUGCUUUUUCCCACACUCGUGACAUUUUGCCGCGGUCUGUCUACUUUUUUUCCGCGCAAGGUACUUCCUUAGUUAGUGACCUCCCUACUCAACGAGACGAAAAAUUAGAACCCUCAUACAGAGUAAUAAGACAGCGAUUUAACUUUAACCGACUAGAAGGUAUAGUCUAACGGAGCUGUAUCUAGUUUGGAGAUAGUACG